ACGGAGGGUGCGAGCGUUAAUCGGAAUUACUGGGCGUAAAGGGCACGCAGGCGGUUUGUUAAGUCAGAUGUGAAAUCCCCGAGCUUAACUUGGGAACGGCAUUUGAAACUGGCAGGCUGGAGUCUUGUAGAGGGGGGUAGAAUUCCAGGUGUAGCGGUGAAAUGCGUAGAGAUCUGGAGGAAUACCGGUGGCGAAGGCGGCCCCCUGGACAAAGACUGACGCUGAGGUGCGAAAGCGUGGGGAGCAAACAGG
rnacentral:rRNA from 1 species